ensembl:lncRNA
GUUCAGGUGUUUGUCUUGUUGUUGUGUCCGUUGUCUGGGGUUUGCUGACGUCUCUUUGGAUUGGAGUAGCGUCUCCUGUUAGGUUUGGCAGCUAGUUCCCUCUGUGAAGUGCUGUUGUCAGAUCAGGUAGAAAUCUGUUUCCUGCUUCGUUGCCCUGACAACAGUGAUGUCACGGUCCUACCUGUUCCUCAAGUUAGUUCUGCUUUUACCGUCUUCAUGUCGCAGCUUCUUUUCUCCGUCUGAAUGUGGAGUCCUGACUGGUUCCAGGAAACAGAUCACCUGUCUGAGCGUCCAGGAGUGGACUGGAAACUUUCUUCUUCUUCUUCAGCGCUUUGAAUAAAGUCUAAGUUUGCUUUGUUUGCUGCUUUAACUUCAGUAAUGUUGCUGUUUGUUUCUGCUCUGUGAUGUUUCUACAUGUUCACUUCUUAUUUCAGCACAAACUUUGGAUGACUGCUGUUUAAACAUGGAUCAAUAUGAUUAUUAGGUUAUUGAUUGACUGCAAUCAGUCAAUAUUUCUAUGAGAUUAUUGAUGGACUUGAGUCAGUUUGAUGAGCUGCUGAUGUUUCUUUGUUUGUUCACAAUCCAAACUGCAUGGUGUCUUUUUGACUUUGGGUUUGUGGGUGAGUCUCUGCAGCUCCAUGACUCCAUCUGCUGGACUGAUAGUAGAAGUGCAGCAGCUGAUCUUUUCCAGGAGGAUUUGAGUGGAUCAAUGAUGUUUGUUUCCUGUGCAGGUGAAGGUAGAAAGUGUGUGUGAGCUGCUGUGAGUUGAGCAGCAUGGAUGAGUGUGAGGACACUGAUCCAUGCGUUUCUCUACCAUAAGACGUCUGCAAAGAGCUUUCAGAGAAUUUAUCUACCCUACUACACACAGAGUACAUGUAUAUAUCAGUUCUCUAACAUUCCUUCUCAUUCAGUGCUUUUUAUUUAUUUGUGUUAUUUUCUACGUUGUAGAUUAAUACUGAAUAUUAACACUUUUUUGUUUCCAACAUGGUUCCAUAUGUGUUCUUUUAUAGUUUGUAUGUCUUCAGUGUUAAUCUUCAAGGUCCAAACUGUUGGCUGCUAGUGGAUAUACAGAGUACAUGAAUAAUGAGAGUAUUUUCAUUACUUUUUAACAGAUACAUACAGUUUGUGUGUAUAUUUAUACUGCAGUAUAACAGUAUAAUAGUACAGUAUUUUG